rnacentral:rRNA from 1 species
GAUGAACGCUAGCUACAGGCUUAACACAUGCAAGUCGAGGGGAAACGGCAUUGAGUGCUUGCACUCUUUGGACGUCGACCGGCGCACGGGUGAGUAACGCGUAUCCAACCUUCCCAUUACUGUGGGAUAACCUGCCGAAAGGCAGACUAAUACCGCAUAGUCUUCGAUGACGGCAUCAGAUUUGAAGUAAAGAUUUAUCGGUAAUGGAUGGGGAUGCGUCUGAUUAGCUUGUUGGCGGGGUAACGGCCCACCAAGGCGACGAUCAGUAGGGGUUCUGAGAGGAAGGUCCCCCACAUUGGAACUGAGACACGGUCCAAACUCCUACGGGAGGCAGCAGUGAGGAAUAUUGGUCAAUGGACGGAAGUCUGAACCAGCCAAGUAGCGUGCAGGAUGACGGCCCUAUGGGUUGUAAACUGCUUUUGUAUGGGGAUAAAGUUAGGGACGUGUCCCUAUUUGCAGGUACCAUACGAAUAAGGACCGGCUAAUUCCGUGCCAGCAGCCGCGGUAAUACGGAAGGUCCAGGCGUUAUCCGGAUUUAUUGGGUUUAAAGGGAGCGUAGGCUGGAGAUUAAGUGUGUUGUGAAAUGUAGACGCUCAACGUCUGAAUUGCAGCGCGAACUGGUUCACUUGAGUAUGCACAACGUAGGCGGAAUUCGUCGUGUAGCGGUGAAAUGCUUAGAUAUGACGAAGAACUCCGAUUGCGAAGGCAGCUUACGGGAGCACAACUGACGCUGAAGCUCGAAGGUGCGGGUAUCAAACAGG